UUCAAUGCUAUUAUUUUUAAUAAUAGUGUGCACUUUUCUUUUAGUAAGACGUUGUGAUCCAUUAGAAAUUGAUUGCUAUAUAUAGGCAAUCAUUUGGUUACCAAUAUACAAAUAAUGAAGUUCAUUAUUAUAAAUAAUAUAAUUUUUAUGAUUGUGUAUAUUAUAUUGUGAGCAUUAUUUGUUAUGUAUGUAACUAUCUGAUGGAUUUUAAAGAUUAUAUUAUUAAUGUGAAUACAUUACCGUCUGUAAAGGAGGAAAAAUAUAUAUCUGAUCAACAACGGUUUCGUUUGGGAUACCUUUUGGACCCGUCUUGAAACACGGACCAAGGAGUCUAUCUAGUAUGCAAGUAAAUGAGUAAGAAUAAAACUUAUUUGCAAAAAUAACUUAACUGUUAUGGGAUUACGAAUAUUUAUUURUUAAAAAAAUAUUCCUCCAUCCCGGGGUAUUUUCAUCAAUUGUACGCAAGUAUAUAGAAAAUAUACCAUGAGCAUACUGGAUAUGACCCGAAAGAUGGUGAACUAUGCCUGAUCAGGUUGAAGUCAGGGGAAACCCUGAUGGAGGACCGAAGCAAUUCUGACGUGCAAAUCG
rnacentral:rRNA from 1 species